rnacentral:rRNA from 1 species
GAAGUAAAAGUCGUAACAAGGUUUCCGUAGGUGAACCUGCGGAAGGAUCAUUAUUGAAAUAAACCUGAUAAGUUGCUGCUGGUUCUCUAGGGAGCAUGUGCACACUUGUCAUCUUUGUAUCUUCACCUGUGCACCUUUUGUAGACCUGAAUAUCUCUCUGAAUGCUCAGGAUUGAGGAUUGACUUGCUGUCUUUUCUUACAUUUUCAGGUCUAUGUUAUUUCAUAUACCCUAAUGUAUGUGGAUAGAAUGUAAUUAGUAGGCCUUUGUGUCUAUAAAUCUAUACAACUUUCAGCAACGGAUCUCUUGGCUCUCGCAUCGAUGAAGAACGCAGCGAAAUGCGAUAAGUAAUGUGAAUUGCAGAAUUCAGUGAAUCAUCGAAUCUUUGAACGCACCUUGCGCUCCUUGGUAUUCCGAGGAGCAUGCCUGUUUGAGUGUCAUUAAUAUUGAUCAACCUCUUUGGUUGGAUCUGGGUUUGCUGGCCCUUGAGGUCAGCUUUCCUUAAAUUCAUUAGCUGAUAACAUGUUGUUAACUGUUCAUUGGUGUGAUAAUUAUCUACACCAUUGAUGUGAAGCAAGGGUUCAGCUUCUAACAGUCCAUUGACUUGGACAAAUUUAUUAAAUGGACCUCAAAUCAGGAGGACUACCCGCUGACUA